CGGUUAAAAAGCUCGUAGUUGGAUCUCGGCAAGUAGAGGGCGGUAUGCUUCGUAGCAUUACUGCCCUAUUACUUGUAGUUUUGCCAGAGGUUCCUGGGUGCUCUUAAUCGAGUGUCUAGGGAUGCUGGCAGGUUUACUUUGAAAAAAUUAGAGUGCUCAAAGCAGGCUAUUACGCUUGAACAUUCGUGCAUGGAAUAAUAGAAUAGGAAGUUGUUUCUAUUUUGUUGGUUUUCGGAAAUCGACUUAAUGAUUAAUAGGGACAGUCGGGGGCAUUUGUAUUCAAACGACAGAGGUGAAAUUCUUGGACCGUUUGAAGACAAACUACUGCGAAAGCAUUUGCCAAGAAUGUUUUCAUUAAUCAAGAACGAAAGUUAGAGGUUCGAAGGCGAUUAGAUACCGCCCUAGUUCUAACCAUAAACGAUGCCAGCUAGCGAUCUGAGGACGUUUUUUUUGUAGACUCCUCAGGAAGCUUCCGGGAAACCAAAGCGUGUGGGUUCCGGGGGAAGUAUGGUUGCAAAGCUGAAACUUAAAGGAAUUGACGGAAGGGCACCACCAGGAGUGGAGCCUGCGGCUUAAUUUGACUCAACACGGGAAAUCUCACCAGGCCCGGACACUGGAAGGAUUGACAGAUUGAGAGCUCU
rnacentral:rRNA from 1 species